UCCUCGGUAGCUCAGUUGGCAGAGCGGGUGGCUGUUAACCACUUGGCCGGGGGUUCGAGUCCCUCCCGAGGAGCCA
rnacentral:tRNA from 1 species